UCAAGAAACUAGAAAAACAAAUGCAAGAAGCCGUCGAAGUGCUUGACUUUGAACUGGCGGCUCAGAUCCGUGAUAUGAUGUUGGAAGUCAAGGCCUUGGAUUAGGGGAAUAGUAUGAUUUAUUUAAGAAAGUUAAAGAGAGAAGAUUUGAUGUCUUUAUGGGAAAUGGCUUAUUCACAACUUAAUCCAGUUUGGAAACAGUAUGAUGCUCCCUAUUAUGAUGAUUAUCAGUAUUUUUCAAAUUUUAAAGAAUUCGAACUACAAAAAUCAGAAUCCAUUUUAAGCAACUCAAAUCGCCUUGGUAUUUUUGUUGAUGAUAAACUAGUUGGGACUGUUUCGCGUUAUUGGGUAUGUAAACAAACAAGAUGGAUGGAAUUGGGAAUUGGUAUUUAUGAUAAAAAAUUCUGGAACACUGGUAUUGGGAAAGUUGCUAUGUUGCAGUGGAUAGAUAGGACGUUUCAGGAUUACUUGGAGUUGGAGCAUCUGGGUUUGACAACUUGGUCAGGGAAUAUUGGUAUGAUGAAACUUGCUGAAAAAUUAAGAAUGAAAAAAGAAGCUCAUAUUCCAAAAGUUCGUUAUUAUCAAGGUAAAUAUUUUGAUAGUAUUAAAUAUGGUAUUUUGAGAGAAGACUGGGAGAAAAUAAAUGACGGUUAUUAUCAAAUCAAUGGAAACUCCUAAAGAGAUAGAAGGUAAAUCCCUUGUUCACUGGCAAACGUGGAGAGAGUCUUAUGAUGACCUUUUGCCUGCGGAAUUUCAGGAUACAAUGACAUUAGAAAGAUGUCGAUUCUUUAGUCAAAAGUAUCCAGAAAAUACAUUGAUUGCGAUGGAUGGCGUGAAGGUGGUUGGUUUUAUCAGUUAUGGCAAUUUUCGUGAUGAGACUAUUCAAGCUGGUGAAAUUAUUGCUUUAUAUGUUUUAAAAGACUAUUAUGGAAAAGGUAUCGCACAAAAGUUAAUGAAAGCAGCUUUGACUGCUCUUAAUCAUUUUUCUGAAAUUUUCUUAUGGGUAUUGAAAGAUAACAAGCGCGCCAUUGCUUUCUAUCAAAAAAUGGGUUUUACUUUUGAUGGACAAGAAAAAAUACUUGAACUUGGAAAGCCUAUAAAGGAAAAACGAAUGGUGUUCUAUUCUAAAUAAUUUUAAAAAAGUAAAAGAUAAUAUCUCUGGUAGUAAGUCUGAAAAUUUAAUAAAUUAGAAAGCGAGUAAAUUUAUGUCCCGUUCCCAAUUAACAAUUUUAACAAAUAUCUGUCUGAUUGAAGACCUCGAAACUCAGCGCGUGGUGAUGCAGUAUCGCGCCCCUGAAAACAAUCGCUGGUCUGGUUAUGCCUUUCCUGGAGGUCAUGUAGAAAAUGAUGAGGCUUUUGCGGAGUCUGUCAUUCGUGAAAUCUACGAAGAAACAGGGUUGACUAUCCAAAAUCCUCAACUUGUCGGCAUUAAAAAUUGGCCACUAGAUACAGGUGGGCGCUAUAUUGUCAUUUGUUAUAAGGCGACUGAGUUCUCUGGUACCCUUCAAUCUUCAGAAGAGGGAGAAGUUUCUUGGGUGCAAAAAGACCAGAUUCCAAACUUAAAUCUGGCCUAUGAUAUGCUACCAUUGAUGGAAAUGAUGGAAGCUCCCGACAAGUCAGAGUUUUUCUAUCCUCGCCGUACAGAAGACGAUUGGGAAAAGAAAAUCUUCUAGUCUUUUACUAAAUAACCUAGCUGAUCCAAGGCCUCCUCGAUAUAGUGGAGGUCUUGUUGUGUUUCGGCUUCGACUAGGUGGUAAUGGAUGCCAUCUGUCAAUUCAGAUAGAGGUCUAAAGUCAGAAUGCUCGACUUGUUCUAGAAAAUGUUGCACAUCUCUGCGACAAGACAGUUUAAGCAAGGUUUCAAUUUCUCCAUAAACGGGAUGGUCAAUCAAGGUAUUCUGGACAUGCCCACCAUUAUCGACAAUAGCAAGGAGUUCCUGACCGAUUUCUUCAACUUCAUGUUUCACUUUGAAAAGUUUGUGAACAUAAGGAUUGGUAUCAAUUUGCUUAUAGAUGUAGCCACGAUUGGUGGAUAGGAUAGGAGCGCCAUCGGCUCUCAAAAUUGCAAUGUCCUGCACAAUGACCUGACGUGUGACAUGAAAAUGUUCCGCCAAACUUUGGCCAUUAAGGGCUUUAGGAGCUUCUUUCAAGAGUUGGAGCAGGGCUUGUUUGCGAUCUUUUGUCAUAGCUUUUCCUUUUAACGGCGUUUUCGAAGCACUUUAUAGACAGCUAGUGCUAAUGUAUAGUCUACCAUACUAUGGAUAAUUGUGCCAAAUCCAACUAGUACAAAUAGAACAUAGAACAUAUUUUCUACAUUGGUACCCGAAGUUGCGUAAAAAAGGACACAGGCUAAUACUUCAGCAAGGGCAUGAACAACAGCCAAAACAAAAUUGAAAACCCAGGAAGAUUUUGGUUUAUCUAGGGUAUCGGGGAAUUUUUGUAGGUAAAGAGCUCCUAAAGCACCAAAAGAUAUAUGGGAAAAAGCCCGAAAAACGAUAACCA
rnacentral:rRNA from 1 species